UCCUCUACUGAGCACACAGCUGGACUGUUGGGUUGGACAGGAGAAGGUUGGCGGGGGGAAGGAGAUCCAACCGACUGAAUGCUGCUGACGAUCACUGGUGUGGCCUGGCUCUCCUCUACAGCCUCCUGCAAAAAGAAGAUCAGCGGGACGGAGGUGGAGAGAGUGGAGAGCUUCAAGUACCUGGGUGUUAACAUCACCAGGACCUAACGUGGUCCUGUCACAUCAACACCCUGCUGAAGAAAGCUCCACAGCGUCUCUACCACCUCAGCGACUUUAAGCUCCUCUCAAGGUGCUCAGGAACUUCUACAUCUGCACCAUUGAGAAUGUUUUGUCUGGAAGUAUCAGCACCUGGAUGGGCAGCAGCACCCAGCAGGACUUCUUGGCCCUGAGGAGGGGGGUCCACUGGACUGAGAACCAUCAGAACCACCCUCCCCAACCUGCAGGACAUUUACAACAAACUAGCAAGGAAGAUUGCUAGUGAGCCCACCCACCCCAGCCACAGAUUGUUCUCGCUUCGGCCACCAGGGCGGCGUUAGCGCUGCCUGAAGGCAAACACAGAGAGGAUGAGGAGGAGCUUCUUGCCACAGGCUGUCCUCCUGCUGAACCUGAAACAGUAACUCAAUAGACAAUCAACCUGCAAAUCCAUUCCACCAUACUGUUUACACUUUGCCUUGGAUGAAUAUGUGUGUGUAUAUAUAUAUAUAUAUAUAUAUAUAUAUAUAUAUAUAUAUAUAUAUAUAUAUAUAUAUAUAUAUAUAUAUAUAUAUAUAUAUAUAUAUAUAUAUACACACACAGUGUUUCCUCUAGGAUUUUUUCCCAGCAGCUCUGCUCCUGCUCCACAUUUUUUGGAAGAUCUCUAACAUUUGAACACAGUCAAGUCUUAGACUCUGGCCCUUGAUUUGUGACUUAGAUUCCACUUCAUCACUAACUUUGACAGUGGUUGAUGUGGGAGGCUGACCUUAGCUAGACCGGGAUGCUUUAGCUGCACGUAUUUCUCCAGCGCUCCUCUGCAGCGCUCCACGAUGUGCUCCAUCUGCAGGUAGCUGGCAGCAGUCAGGUAGUUGACGAUCUCCUCGGGGUUGAAGUGCAGGAUGCCGGUGUAGCAGGACUGGAGCAGGUCGCACACCACCGAGGAGCUGUACAGCAUCGACACCUGGAUAAUAACAUGGAACACAGUCACAGAAGUUUAACUCGGCAUGGAAUCCUGAAAAGAAAAUCCCAGUGACAGCGUGAGGUUGAGUUUAUGCUGGCCAACCUGCAGCUUGGGCGAUGGGUUGAGGAGGAACUGGUCCCGCAGGAAGGGCGAGCAUGCAGCCAGCACAACCUUGUGUCCCCUGAAUACCUGGUUGUUGCUGGCGACGAUGGUGACGUCACAGAAAUGCUGGCGGGACCUCAGCGAAUUCAUGUGCUUCAAGGUGAUGUCCCCGUGGCCCGGUAACCGGAAAAACACCAUCUCCAUCUUGUCUGAGGAGAAACAAGGACGGGCGUGGUGACAAAUUCCAAGAACUGAGCACCCAUUACGGUUAACUCAGUAACAACACAGACACAAAAUACAGGCCGAAUAAAAGCCACUUGAACACUGUGUUCAAUGUCUGAAAUAGGAUCAAAGACAGUAUAAGCUCCUUCCUAGCCCCUCUUGAACUCAAGAUUGAAGAGAAUAUCUUUAUUGUCAUCAUACAUGGGAGCAUGACAGAAGUAUAAGUAGCUGCAUUGAAAUAAGCUAAAUAACAACAAUAAAUAAUAAAAUCAAACGUACAUAUAAAACAAAA